rnacentral:rRNA from 1 species
AUGGAGUCAUGUAGCGUGGCCAGGAUAAUGAGCUUAGGGAGGCUUGCUAUACACCGGACGUAUUUGUGCACCCUAAUCUUCAGAAAUUUGCCAAAGCUGCUAGGCUUCACUCCCACUUCACUGAAGAGAAAGAGAUUCUGCAAAGCUGAACAUGUUGAGCUACAACUGACCAAGAAGACUACACUGCCGGAGCUGCCUCCGGACAUCUUGAUGGGUAUUUUUGCCACCCUUGAGAUCCCUGACCUCGUGCGUGCCGGCUCUGUCUGUUCCUCCUGGCGCUCCGCAUACACAAGCCUACGGAGCCUUGGGCAGUACAAUCUCCAGCAGACCCCAUGCCUCCUCUACACUCCAAAUCCACCGGUGAGAGUGUUGCGUGCCUCUACAGCCUCGCAGAGAAGAGAUCAUACAAGUUAA